CCUAUGCUAACAGUGUGAUUUAUGGU
rnacentral:piRNA from 1 species